rnacentral:rRNA from 1 species
CCCUUAUGCCUUGGGCUACACACGUGCUACAAUGGGGUGCAACAAAGAGUCGCUAAAUCGCGAGAUGGAGCUAAUCUCAUCAAACCACCCCCCAGUUCGGAUUGCAGGCUGCAACUCGCCUGCAUGAAGCCGGAAUCGCUAGUAAACGCGCGUCAGCCAUAGUGCGUUGAAUACGUUCUCGGGUUUUGUACACACCGCCCGUCACGCCAAGAGAGUCGAUAAUACCCGAAGGCGCUUGAAGCGUCCGAAGGUAGGAUCGAUGAUAGGGGCGAAGUCGUAACAAGGCAGCCGUAGCGGAAGCUGUGGCUGGAUCACCUCCUUUCUAGGGAGUAA